UUUCUAUAUACAACUAGUGUUGGAUUUAAUUUGAGUUUCAAUUAUUAUAUUAUACCCAAUUUUAUUUGAAAUUACCAAAUUACCCCUAAACCUAAUUUUGCCUAAACCCUAACCUAGCUACCCUUUCCCCCCUGAGCCCAGCAGCCAUAGCACGCACAGUUUCCUUUUGUUCUUUCUUCAUGAAAGAAAGGAGCAGAAGCAAAAGAAAAACGAAAUAGAGGGGAGAAGAGGGAGGCGGCGCGGUGGGUGCCACUGCCACCGUCGCCGCCGUCGCUGACUGAGGGGAGGGGAGCUCUGAACGAGAAGAGAGAGCUCGCGAGACAGGGGGAGAUGGACCUGCGCCUUGCCGUCGACCCACGUCUCGCCGCCACUGCCUCCAUGUCUUCCAAUAGCGCCACCAUCGCCGCCGUGGAUCGCGACCAGAGGGGAGCACGAGAUCGAGAGAGAGUGAGGCGUGGAGACGGCGUCGCGCGGAGAGGGACUCGCCGCUGCCGUCGCGCACAGCCAUGUGUCGUCACUGCCGUCUGAACAGUCACCGUCGCCCUGGGGUGUAGUCCGCCGCUACCGCCAGUGGAGGUCACUGCUGUGGAACGGAGGUGAGAGAGGGAAGCAAGAUGAAUCCUCUCCGCUUCUGGUGCUCUGGUUCACCGCCACUACCGCCGGAAUCCUUGGCCGCCGCUCCUACUCUUGUUUGCAUUAGAGGAAGCU